UUAUAUCGCAUGAAUAUCUAAUUAUAAAUUGUCUAUUUACAAUAAAGUUAAAAAAAGAAAAUGUUUAUAUGAGUUAACUUUGUAUUUGGAAGCUCUCUUUUUCAUUUUUAUUUCUUAACUGCUUUUUACAUUUUAGGUGAUCUUUUCUAUUUUAAUGAUUUUAAAAGUAUCUGUCAUUCGUUUUAUUUCCCCUAUCUUGGAAAGCAUCCAAAUAGUACAAUAGUAAUUUAUAGCCUUUCAAGCUCUGUAUGAUCCAAUUAAAUUCCUGUGCCCUCUGAUUCUAGUAGUUGUUAUUUUGUAUUGUGAUUGAAAGGUUUUCAAGUAUCUCAAAAGAGGGAGGUAAGAAAAAAAAGCGAUAAAAUUAAACAGAUUUUUUAAGUGUAAAGGGAACCAGUUUUAGCAUUAGUCUGUUGCAGAACUUUUAGCAUUUUGAAUACAAUUUUAUGCCACUAUGGGAAGUCUUUUAUGUUCACAAUGACUCUUUUUCCUGAGCACUCUCCACCUUCAUGAAAACUUCAAAAAUCCCUAUUACCAAAUGAGCACAUAUUCUUCCCUGUGGCCGAGCCAGGGGCUAGAGAACGGAUUUUGUAUUUUAUGUUAGAACAUUUUGACAUUUUAUAUAGUAUAAGAUUACUGCAGACAUAACUGAGAAAUUCUUUGGGAGGAUAAAAUGAGAAGACAGUGAAGAAGGGAUUAUAUUGUGUGCAUUUAUGUCUUUUUAAAAAAGCUUUCUUCUGAAAAGAAGUGCUUACAGUUGUACAAAGAUGGAAGUGAAUAUACCUACAUGUUGGAGAAAACUUGAAGAUUUUGGUCGACUGAUACUGUAAACCCUCCAGAUACAGACAAAGGAUGAUAGACUGAGGAGCAAGGAAAUCCACUGGAGAUGGUUUCAAGAUAUAGGAUCCUUAUAUGUGAGGUAUCUCAAAUGAAGUUGGAGCAUCCAUGUUGAAAUUGCUUCAUGUUGUGGAAAAAGCCUAUAAAAUUAGUGAAUGCCUGGAAGAUAUUAGACUAGACUCUCCAACAUCAAUAAGGACAGACUUCUUCCAGAGCACCAUGGGAAAGGAAUCUGGGCAAUUCUUUACUAAAGCUAUUUUUUAUUAUUUCCAUUCUGAGAACACCUGCAUAAAUGUCUGUGUCACUCCUAUGCUAUAUUACUUUUCAAUUCAAGCAUCUUAAAAAAAUUUUACAGAAGCUCCUAACCAAACAUUUCCAAAUUCCCACUUGAUGUCCAGCUUUGGAUUGAUUUUAAAAGUUUUUUAAAAAUAGAAUUCUCUCUGUGUAGGAGCACAAUUCUUUCUGCUUUUUCUCUGUAAUAACCCUAUAUUUGCUUCUGUCUUACCUACUUUGAGAUAGUGAUCAAGUUACUAAACAUCUUUUAGCCUCAGAAUUCUCAUUAUAAUGAGAGAUUCAUAACAGUCAGAUUGCUUACAUUUUGAAGAUUACAAAGCAUAUGUGUAAAUCACCUACUGCUUAGAACAUUGCUGGCGAUCUUUCAUAUUAGCUAUAUAUCUAGAUCUACAAAUAGGUUUGAUGACAUGCAAGUCCCCCAGAUAUUUAUGAGGAACUUCUUGGAAUAUUCCAGAAUAAGGACAAAAUUGGUUCAGAAGAUUGGUGUGACUCACGAGGUUGGCGGAGAGGAGGUGAAAGGAAGCCUCAUCUUGAUCAGAAGUAUCUAACCAGGAAAAUAAGCAUUUUAUGCAUUUAUUACCAUGCCAGAAGCAAUAAAUCUUUACCUUAGGUUUGUUCAUAUCACCUGUGUGACAAUGUUCCUUUAUCACAAGACUUUUUAACAUUUGCUUCUCUAGGCCAACAAUUCUCAAGAUUUAAAGUGUUUAUAACCACCUGGAAAGCAUAUUAAAUACAGAGGGUAGCAGAUGCUGUUUGAGGGAUUCUGCUUCAGUAAGAUAGGUUGAGUUCUAAGAAUUUGCAUUUUAAACAUGAUUAUUCAGAACCAGAGCAAUUCUGGUAUACCCCACUAACUGCCAUAUUUUCAUCUUGAAGAUUAAAGUUUUACAGUCUAUUUGGAAGUUUUAUUGUUGGAGAUAGAAUUGAACAAUUUUAUUAUGUAACUGUUAAGAGAGAUAGCUAAGAAUAAGACAAGAUUUAAUAAUAGUUCUCUACACUUAUUAGGCAGUAGAGUAACUCUGUACAGAAUUUGAUUCCACGUACUUAUAAGAAGUUGAUGGAACAACUACGUAAAAAUAAAACAUGCUGGUCAAGUUAAUAAUAGGGUUUCUGAUUUUACUAAUGUUUAUCAAAACCAUUUAAUAACCAGUUGCUUUCGUAUAUAUAUUAAUUUAUCAAAUCCUCAUUCUAGUUCUGUUUAGUAUUUUGUAUCCUCCUUUUACAGAUUAAUACAAAUAGAUUUAUAGAAAAUACUAGCUUGUUAAGUUACAAGGUUAGAAAACAGUAGGGCCAAUCUUGGUACUAAGACAGCGUGCAACUGGUACAACUGUUUCCUUAUCCCAGGGUAAUUCAAUUUUCCAAUCAUGAAAGGUUUUGUUUUUAUGGCAGCCACCAGUAUAAGCACGUAUUGGAACAACCAGCCUAUGUUUAUUUUGUUUAAACUGCUAAACAUUUAAUUUAUCUUCACCUGAUGAGUUAGGCUUUGAAAAGCAUCAGCAGAGUAGGCCUGUUUCAUGUGCUUUGUAAAACUUCUCAGGAAAAUAUCUUCUGAAAAAAAAUGUUUCAGGUAUCUUCUACACAUUCUUGUUUUUUACCAGUGUGCUUAUUAACUUUCACCAAUUAUUUGUAUGUCAUCUUUCAUUUAAAUCAAUUAUCAGUGAUUAAGCCUCGCUCAGUAGCUAGUCAAUAACCUCUUUUAAAAACAAAAGCGGCUGGGCGAGGUGGCUCAUGCCUAUAAUCCCAGCACUUUGGGAGGCCGAGGUGGGCAGAUCACCUGAGGUCAGGAGUUCUAGACCAGCCUGGCCAACAUGGUGAAAUCCUGUCUCUACUAAAAAUACAAAAAUUAGCCGGGCGUGGUGGCAGGUGCCUGUAAUCCCAGCUACACGGGAGGCUGAGGCAGGGAAAUUGCUUAAACCCGCGAGGCGGAGGUUGCAGUGAGCCAAGAUCAUGACAUCGCACUCCAGCCUGGGGGAAAACAGCGAGACUUCGUCUAAAACAAACAAACAAACAAGCAUUAUAGAUAGAUAGAUAGAUAGAUAGAUAGAUAGAUAGAUAGAAAGAAAGAAAGAAAGAAAUAGAGAUAUGUCCAGCCUCCUUUGUAUCUAGGUGUGGCUUUGUGUCUAAGUUCUGGCCAAUGUGAUGUUACCUAAAACAAUAUAUACCAUUACUAGGUGAUAUCCUUCAAGGGUCUGAAUGUCUGUUUCUCCUUCUUCCUUGACUAACUUGGAAAUUAGAUACGGAAUGAGAUGUCCUGGUGAGCCAGCUUGUAUCACACAGACAAAGAUAACUGUCUAGAUGUGGUAGAAUAAAAACAUAGAAAGGGUCUAGCUUACUGCCUUAAUUUAUAGAGCAAAACAGUCCAGGACUCCUUCUGUGCUGAAUGUUAUGUGAAAGAUGAAUAAGCUCUACUUUUUUAGCUAUUACUAUUAAGCCACUGUACAGGGCAGAAUAUAUGUCCCAAUGAAGUCACGCAUUCUUCCGUGAAUGUGUUACUCAUGAAUGUUUAGCACACUAUGGCUCCUUUAGGAAGUUAAUCUUAGCUCGACAAGAUUCACUGGGUCCUUAAACAAAGAAUGCCACUGUGGUUGCCUAGAUAUUACACAUGUACCAUAUAGAAGCAUCUCGUCUUGCACAUCUUACUCUUUAUACUAUUUUCCUCACCACGUUCUCCAGUGAUCCGUCACCAGCUCUGUUAUCCUUUUUGUCCAUCCAUUACAAAGCAAUGCAUACAUUUGUUCCUUUUUUCCAAUUCGUUUUGCUACAGCAUUUACCUUUCAUGCAUGUGCAGUGUGAAGACUGCAAAUAAAAGACACAGGAAUAAUAAACCCUGAGACGAACUUCAGAGUUCUUGCCUUUCUUAACAGCAUUCAACAUAAACUUUAAAAACCACAUCAGACUAUGCAAAUAAAACAAUAAGUGGAUGCCUUAAAGCUUCUCCCAAGAUAACAACAUCCAAACCUGUAUAAUCUACAAGAUAUUCUUCAUUGUCUCCUGCCCUUCGCUCAAUCCCUCACCUGAUCUAUCCUCAUUUUGCAUUCAAGACACAUUUUUUUUUCCAUCUUUAGUAUACCUGCUUGGAUCUUUAUUUUGGAGAAGAUUUUAGAUCUAUGUUUAAUUCCCAUAGUAGUCAAAGAAUGCCUUGAUGUCUUAUGGAUGCAGUGUUCUCCUGCUCCAUAAUGGAGUCUUCAGUUAUCUUUAAGUGGCAAUUAUUCUACAAAGAAUGCUCCCUACUAAAAUGACUGUUUUGACUAUGACACUAGCGUUCUGGGACACAGCCUGAGAUUGCAUCUUUACCUUAUCCCUUAAUACUACAGUUUGUGCAUUGUCUGACUAGCAGAAUGCAAGCUUAUUGUAUGCCUUAAUAUAUCUCAUAGCUGGCUGCUUACUACAAUUGCCAUAUUUUAUCAUUCUCCCUGUCACUUCUUUAAUGCAUCUCCUAUUCCUAAGCAUACAUGCUGGCAUUUUCAACUCAAUGUUCAACAUACAGUAUCUCACUUAAUUCCCUUAAGCCUCUUAGAUAAAUAUAAUGAUCACAUUUUAGUCACCAACUCAACAAACAUUUACUUAGCGUUUCUUUUGUGUCACCUAUUACUUCAGGCAAGGGAGAGGGAGAUAGCAAAUAGCCCCCCAGUUGCUCACUCUCUCAUAGGGAAGACAAAUAAGAUAAAUGUAAAAAUACAAAAACAAAAACAUAAACCCUCUCAAAAAAACCUUUUAAAUAUACAGUAAUAGCAUAAAACUUCAUUCUAAGAACAAGGAGCAAAUAAGAAAAUUGCUCAAUUUCACUGGAAGGAGAGGAAUGGCAAAGAUUAGAAAAUGUUUCCUGGGCAUCGUACUUCAGCUGAAAUUGGAAAGAUAAGGAGACAGACUGAGACA
rnacentral:lncRNA from 1 species